rnacentral:misc_RNA from 1 species
UUUCCGUAGGUGAACCUGCGGAAGGAUCAUUACCAAAUAAAAAUAAUCCACCUUUUGUGUGAAAAAUUAUUUAUUUUUCUCCCAUAAGCGACCAUGUGACAAUUAUGUUAAAGAUUAUACCAGGACCCGAGAGCCAUUGGGCGUUGGAACCCAUUUUAAAACAACCAAAAGUUUAACACUUUGUCUUAUCUUUAUUUCAUUUGGGCCUUCGGGUUACAACUGAAAAAAUAAAAAAUUGAAAAACAACUUUUAACAACGGAUAUCUUGGCUCUU